UACGUAGGGAGCAAGCGUUGUCCGGAAUCAUUGGGCGUAAAGCGCGCGUAGGCGGCCCCGUAAGUCCGCUGUGAAAGUCAAAGGCUCAACCUUUGAAAGCCGGUGGAUACUGUGGGGCUAGAGUCCGGAAGAGGCGAGUGGAAUUCCUGGUGUAGCGGUGGAAUGCGCAGAUAUCAGGAGGAACACCAAUAGCGAAGGCAGCUCGCUGGGACGGUACUGACGCUAAGGCGCGAAAGCGUGGGGAUCAAACAGG
rnacentral:rRNA from 1 species